AAUUUUGCACAAUGGGCGCAAGCCUGAUCCAGCCAUGCCGCGUGAGUGAAGAAGGCCANCGGUUCNUNAAGCUCGUCCUGACGUCNAGAAAUCGCGCAGGCUACUACCCUGCGUGGCUGGCGGUACCGUCACAAGAUGCACCGGCCAACUACGUUCCCGCCGCCGUGGUAAUACGUAGGGUGCGAGCGUUAAUCGGAUUUACUGGGCGUAACGCGUGCGCAGGCGGUUGAUUAAGACAGGCGUGAAAUUCCCGGGCUUAAGCUGGGAACUGCGCUUGUGACUGGUCAGCUAGAGUACGGCAGAGGGGGGUGGAAUUCCACGUGUAGCAGUGAAAUGCGUAGAGAUGUGGAGGAACACCGAUGGCGAAGGCAGCCCCCUGGGCCGAUACUGACGCUCAUGCACGAAAGCGUGGGUAGCAAACAGG
rnacentral:rRNA from 1 species